AAAGGAAUACAAGAACUGCUAACUCCAACUACUGAUACUAACCCUUCAGGCCUUUCC
rnacentral:tRNA from 1 species